rnacentral:rRNA from 1 species
AGCCAAUAGAUACCCGGGUAGUCCACGCCCUAAACGAUGUCUACUAGUUGUUGGUGGAGUAAAAUCCAUGAGUAAACGCAGCUAAACGCGUGAAGUAGACCGCCUGGGGAGUACGGUCGCAAGAUUAAAAACUCAAAGGAAUUGACGGGGGCCCGCACAAGCGGUGGAUUAUGUGGAUUAAAUUCGAUGCAACGCGAAAAACCUUACCUGGCCUUGACAUGCCACUAACGAAGCAGAGAUGCAUUAGGUGCCCGUAAGGGAAAGUGGACACAGGUGCUGCAUGGCUGUCGUCAGCUCGUGUCGUGAGAUGUUGGGUUAAGUCCCGCAACGAGCGCAACCCUUGCCAUUAAUUGCCAUCAUUUAGUUGGGCACUUUAAUGGGACUGCCGGUGACAAACCGGAGGAAGGUGGGGAUGACGUCAAGUCCUCAUGGCCCUUAUGGCCAGGGCUUCACACGUAAUACAAUGGUCGGUACAGAGAGUUGCCAACCCGCAGGGGGAGCUAAUCUCNGAAAGCCGAUCGUAGUCCGGAUUGUUCUCUGC